UACGUAGGGCGCAAGCGUUUGUCCGGAAUUAUUGGGCGUAAAGAGCUCGUAGGCGGCUUGUCACGUCUGCUGUGAAAUCCCGGGGCUCAACCCCGGGCGUGCAGUGGGUACGGGCUGGCUAGAGGCAGGCAGGGGGAGAACGGAAUUCCCGGUGUAGCGGUGAAAUGCGCAGAUAUCGGGAGGAACACCGGUGGCGAAGGCGGUUCUCUGGGCCUGUACUGACGCUGAGGAGCGAAAGCGUGGGGAGCGAACAGG
rnacentral:rRNA from 1 species